rnacentral:piRNA from 1 species
UGGAUUUUGUGGGGGGAACCGAUGG